rnacentral:SRP_RNA from 1 species
GUAUGCUAAGCGGGAAGUUAGCGGUGUCCUGUAACCUGCAAUCCGCUAUAGCAGGGCUGAAUCCCUAUCUGCGGGAUUUGAUGGCUAAGUUUCUUUUUAUGAAAGUGAUGUUGUCCGAAGGUAUUAUACCUUCGGCUGGAAUGGUCAAGUCUAACGCAAUCGGACUCUGUGAAUCUUGUCAGAACCGGAAGGUAGCAGCAAUAAGCAAUCAGUCAGAUGUGCCGUUGGUAAACUUGGUUUUAGUUAACUACAUAAAAAUGCUUGGAAUAAAAUCUCAAGGAUAGGUGCAUAC